GAUGAACGCUGGCGGCGUGCCUAAUACAUGCAAGUCGAGCGAACGGACGAGAAGCUUGCUUCUCUGAUGUUAGCGGCGGACGGGUGAGUAACACGUGGAUAACCUACCUAUAAGACUGGGAUAACUUCGGGAAACCGGAGCUAAUAUCGGAUGAUAUUUUGAACCGCAUGGUUCAAAAGUGAAAGACGGUCUUGCUGUCACUUAUAGAUGGAUCCGCGCUGCAUUAGCUAGUUGGUAAGGUAACGGCUUACCAAGGCAACGAUGCAUAGCCGACCUGAGAGGGUGAUCGGCCGCACUGGAACUGAGACACGGUCCAGACUCCUACGGGAGGCAGCAGUAGGGAAUCUUCCGCAAUGGGCGAAAGCCUGACGGAGCAACGCCGCGUGAGUGAUGAAGGUCUUCGGAUCGUAAAACUCUGUUAUUAGGGAAGAACAUAUGUGUAAGUAACUGUGCACAUCUUGACGGUACCUAAUCAGAAAGCCACGGCUAACUACGUG
rnacentral:rRNA from 1 species